rnacentral:rRNA from 1 species
AUACGUAGGUGGCAAGCGUUGUCCGGAAUUACUGGGUGUAAAGGGAGCGUAGGCGGGAAGACAAGUCAAGUGUCAAAUCUAUCGGCUCAACCGGUAGCCGCGCUUGAAACUGUUUUUCUUGAGUGGAGUAGAGGCAGGCGGAAUUCCUAGUGUAGCGGUGAAAUGCGUAGAUAUUAGGAGGAACACCAGUGGCGAAGGCGGCCUGCUGGGUCUUUUACUGACGCUGAGGCUCGAAAGUGUGGGGAGC